rnacentral:tRNA from 2 species
GGGCGCUUGGCCUAGUGGUAUGGCGUAUGCUUUGCACCAAACAGUGCGACAAACACUGCAUGGUUAUGAUUGUAUAAGAUCACGAGUUCGAUCCUCGUAGCGUCCA